CGUGGUUUCCUGUUGGCGCAAGAAAGCGUGGGAGGACCGUCGACGGUCCUACGGUUUGUGUACUUCUCCCUCGCUCUACUCCACAUUCUUCCGGAUCGAGACAGAACGGAAACCGCCUUCCCGAAUCCCGACCACAGAGAUCGAAUGAGAGAGAGGGCGAGAGGCCUUCUUCCUGAGAUGUAUCACCUGAGCCUCUACCUUUACUUGUCGAGGGUAAACAUAUUCACUGACUUCCCUAUCAUAAGUUUUUCUGGCUAUACACCAAUGCAAAGUCGUACAUUAUUGUAAAUUAGUAGGCAGCCUUUGUGAAGAGAAAUACAUCAGAAUGAAUUAGUUGGUGGUUUACAGUUUUUUUUGUGAGUAAAAUGGAACAGAAGAAUGUAAAGGAGUUGGAUAAAGGCGAAAAGUGUGAUCUCAAAAGGAAGAGAGAUUCUGCUGUAUAUGUGACAAAUGAUAGCCAUGGUCUGGUAGCACAUCCACAUACUGCAGUCCAAUCUUCUUUAAAGGUCUACACAGGAAUGAGCUGUAAAACUGGCCUAAUCUGCUAUCCAGGGGACCAUAUUGUCAAGAAUUAUCGCAACUUCAGAAAAAGUGGGUUGCCACACCGUGUGCUGUUUUAUGAGAAUGAUCAAUGGGAAGAUUUUCCGGAAAAUAUUGUCCAUUUGGUUCAGGAUGAUUUUCGGUCAAAGAAAGGAAUUACUGAAGCAGGUUAUCAGAAUCAACAUUUUUUGUUGGACUUCAUUCACAUGGUUUGUGUGAUUUUGCAAACAGGUUUGGUUAAGCCAGUAGCUUGGAUUGAUGACCAUGGCAAAUCCUUCUUUCCAGAAUUACACUCCCACCAGUAUGCAUUAAAUAGAUGCUAUCAUUCCAACAAAGAAAUACGGGCUUACAUGAGUCCUGAACCAAAUGGUACACAUGAAGUCACUGCACAAUUUAAGAUUUCCAACAGUGCAGCUAAAAGUUCAAGUUCUGGAGCUGACAAUGGGUUUAUACCUAAUCUCAAGAGGGUUAAGAGUGAAGAAAAUUCUACCAGUGACCAAAAUACUUAUGCUGAAGUCGACGAAGUAGUUGGAGAAAAUGACCCAGGUUCUGUUUUGCCUCUAAAUAUUCCUGCCUUUGGAGCUUGUCAAGCACCUGCUGGUGGUCAUCAUGUUAAUAGAGCUGUGCAGAAUAUGUUACUUCAUGGUCUAGGCAAGUUCAUCGAUCCAAAAAAUAUAGUUGGAAUCCAUAGGACUCCUUUGAGAAAUGAUGUAGGACUAGUUCGGUAUAACAUUUUCCAAGAGUGGGUUGAAACCACUAAAAAGGCACGUGGCAAUGCAAAUGUCCGCUAUGCAUGGCUUGCUUCAACCAAGGAUGCUGUGGAAGAGAUGAUGAUGCAUGGGGUUCUGAAACCACCUUUUCAUGAACGUCUUUAUGGCAAUGGCAUUCAUCUCACACCCGCAAAUUGCUCCAAUAUCUGUGCUAGAUAUUGUGAUGUUGAUGAAAAUGGUAUCAUAUACCUGAUGUUGUGCCGCAUUAUAAUGGGAAAUGUGGAACUCAUUCACCCUGGAUCAAAUCAGUGUCAGCCUAGUAAUGAAAACUUUGACACUGGUGUAGAUGAUCUUCAUAAGCCAAAGCAUUAUAUUAUUUGGGAUGUGAAUUUGUAUACCUAUAUAUAUGCAGAAUUCACAGUGACUUUUCAAGCAACCUCCAAAGUUGAAGAAUGUUUGCUUGGGAAAGAAAGUACAUGCAAUGUAUCUGCCCUCACAAAUUUUAAUUCACCUCACAGCUUAUUACAGGAGAAGACUUUUCAGCCAAAUCUGGGCUGCACAAAUCAAUCUCAGGUUCCAGUGUCUAGAGCAGCACCAAGAAUUCCAACCUCACCAUUGAUGCCCUUCUCAAUGUUAUUUGCAGCAAUCUCAACUAAGGUGUCUACUGAAGACAUGGACUUGGUUCACACUCAUUAUAAUGACUUCAAGAAGAGAAAAAUAAACCGAAUUGACCUAAUUAAAAAGUUAAGGCAGAUCAUUGGGGACAAAUUGUUGGUUUCGACAAUAAUGAGGCUGCAACACAAGUUACCACCCAUGGCUAGACAUGAGCCACCAGAACCCUCGUCUGGAAGCCUGCGAAACAACUCUUGACACGGUGUAAACAUCUCUUUGGGAUUGGGGGACUGUCUUUUGCUUUCUCUUGCCGAAGUCAUGCCUGAAAACCGCCGUAUGGUCACAUCAGGAUCAAUUUCCUCGCAGUUGCAAACCAACAAACGACUCUCAUCUGCGUGAAUCAAUUCCCUCUACCGGUAGCUGUCGUACUUAAUUCAAGAUUAGCCUGUAGAGGAGGAAAGAAGGUAGUGUACGUGCAUGUAUUCGUGCGACAGGCCCUUGAAAGCCGGGCGGACGAGGACACAGGGGAGGGCGUGGUCGGGUCGCUAUCGCAGGAUCAGAAGCCCGAGCUACCUGUCAUCCCCUGCUCGCCGAUGUGAUGGCACGACUGCCCGCCCACGCCUGCCUGCCCCCUGCAUCUGCCAAUCAUAAAGCAAUCGAGUGCCUUAUCAUUUACUUUGCCCCCACAAAACACACACACACUCUCUCUCUCUCUUCUCUUCUCUUCUCUUCUCUUCUCUCAUCUUUCUUGGUUACUACCCUUCUCUCUCUUCCUCGGUUCUCGUGAUACGCAUAAAAGCUCACAUCGAAGUGUCAUCUUUGCAGGUAGGAGUUACUUAUUGGUGCAGGUGCAGGUGCAGGUGCGACGCACUGAUUAGGGGUGACAGAUCUGAAACAGAGAGCAUGCAUCUUUUCUUGUUAUCGGUUUGUGGUGCUGCUGCAGAGAGGACGUUGUGCAAGAUGACACCGUCUUGAGCUUCCCCUUAAUUCUCGCAUGGCGAGACUCGUACGAACGAGGAUGCAGCGCUGCUACCGCCUCUUGGAACCAAUUAUCGCGCGCGCAAGAGAGAGAGAGAGAGAGAGAGGACGAUGUCCAAGAAGGCACCGUUUUGAGCUUCACCUUAUUACUCUCACAGGAAGUGGGACUGAGAGAGGCAGAGAAUCAGCAUUUUACUGGCGCCUUCUGCAACCAAUCGAUCAGAAUCUACUACAUGUGCGUACGAGACACCGCAGCGGAAGAUUAAUUUCCUUUCUCUUCUGGCUGUCAACUCCCACUAGAUCUAUCGCUAUCUUCCAUCACAGCAGAAGGCUUCCUUUCUCCAAUCAUCAUGGGAGAUAUUUGCUGCGGCUGAAGUAGGAAGGGUUGAUCAACAAGGCCGAGCUAAUCAAGAAAGCAUGCCUGUCACCUCACUCUCUUCCAAAAGUGUCACUAUUUGCAAGAGAAAUAUACUCGUAAAAUAAACCCUGUCUCCCAAUAUAUGCCAGUCUUGUACCUAUCUGCUUCCAAGACAUUACAGGAGAGGGAGAGAGAGAGAGAGAGAGAGAGAGAGAGAGAGAGAGAGAGAGACAAACAAACACACGACAUUACAAAUCAGUGGGUACGCAUUCUUUUUUC